AAAAAAUGCAAUAUUGUAUAAACAAGGACACUUUUUAAGAAGGUAAGUUUUUAGAGGCGUGUCUAUUUCACCAUCCUGUUAAGUAGCUUACUAUUUGACGUCUCGUCGUGCGCGGACAAACCGCUACAGUAACAAUCUGUUUGAGCUGCAGUUUGCGAGUCUGCUUAAGUUCACAGCGCAGCCCUACUCAUUAGGAAAUACCUCCCCGGGACGGGUGUGUGUGUGUGUGUAGGUCAGAGAUGACUGAGGCAGAGACUUACUGCAAAGCUCCUGCUGAUUCACGGCUGAAGUGCUGGCUGUGGGCCCACAGACAAACUCCACCUCCCUGGGAUUACUGUCAAGAGAAUGGGCCUUCUGCCGUGUGGAGCCAGCGCCUCCUGGUGGUAGGCUUUGUUCUCCUCGUCCUGACUGCCAUGAUAAUGCUGCUUCUUUGGAAUUACCAUUGCAUCGUCAUCACACACAUCUGCCAAGACCAGGAGGGGAGCUCUGCAUACCCUUUGUGGAAGGACAAGGAGAUCUCAGACUGAAGGCACGUCCAUUGAACCAGAUGACUAGAAGAAAACAUUGCCCAUCACACCACAGAAAUCUCAACCCAAUAAAUGAAUCAAUGCAGCAGUUGUCACAAAAAAGCUGGAUCCCCAGGUAUACAUUUUAAACAGCAAGUGAUUAAUAUUUGAAGUGCCAGCAGAAGAACCAAAUGUAGAGUGGGACAGUCUUCUUCUGGUUGCGCAGUGGACAUGAUUAAAGUACAUGGCCAAUCUGUGUCCGUAUGGUUGACAGUAUUGUUGUAAUUUGAUUUGUGUGGGCACUGCGACUAGGCCAGUAACAGCCUGGAUGGCUGUCUCUUUCUGCUGUAUUGCCAACUUCUUUGAUGGAUGGGUACCAGCCUCAUACCAUAUCAUGAUAUCACAGCCAUCAACAGCCAAAGGUAAAAUACAGGCAUUAUUUUUCAAUAAGAGUAAGAUUAGAUUAGAUUCAACAUUAUUGUCAUUGAACAGUACAACUACAGUACAAAGAAAUGCAGUUAGCAUCUAACCAAAAGUGCAAAUGGAAGAGGACAGAAAUGUAAAAGUGUUUACAAGUAUUAAGUAUAAUGUAUGUGCAAUGAUGUGCAAUGAUGGCAAAUGCAAGUACAAAUGGCAAUUCUAAAUGAGCAGGAUAUUGUUUUAUCCAUGGGGAUUGUCAGUUGGAUUUAAUUACUUUUACACAAUUAACAUUGUAAUGGCUUAUUAUGAUUUGCAUAAUUAACAUUUCCAUUUAUACUGUACUGUAAAUCCAUGCCUAAAAUACACCAACUGAUAGAAAUGGCACAUGUAUAAUUGCAAUUAAGUAGGUUAAUUAGGGACAAUGACUGUCACACAGCAGUUCAUCCAGUUGUAGGGUAUAUAUGACAAAGGAAGCAUACAAUUUCACACAGGAUUAAACAAAAUAUAUAGAAUGUGACCAUUAAUACCCUGUUAAAGUCAGGGUGUGACUUUAAACCCCUUUUAAUCACAUUACUGUUACUAUGUUUUGCACAAAUAUUGGACAAGAAAUAGAACAUAGAAGAUUACAAACUAUUUACAUUUGCAUGUGUAAUAAAAACCUGAAGAUUCAGAAUGGUGUACUCUGGUGGUGCAGUGGUUUGAGCUACUGGCUCCUGUGCACAUGUACUGCUGCAGCAUGGGUUGGAAAAUAACAGUCAUUCCCUGUCACAUAAGCAAAGACAUAACUUUAAAAAUACACACACACAUUGUAAUGCAAAAUACAAAACUGCAUAGACCUCCACACCUCUCAUAAUAGCAAUCCUAAAUUAGUUCCAGUGAAAUAGUCAUGUGCCAUGUGGUAUCCUCUUCACAAUACCCCAUAGAUUUUCUAUAGGGUUAAGGUCAGGCGAGUUUGCUGGCCAAUUAAGAACAGGGAUACCAUGGUCCUUAAACCAAGUACUGGUAGCUUUGGCACUGUGUGCAGGUGCCAAGUCCUGUUGGAAAAUGAAAUCUGCAUCUCCAUAAAGUUGGUCAGCAGUAGGAAGCAUGAAGUGCUCUAAAACUUCCUGGUAGACGGCUGUGUUGACCUUGGACCUCAGCAAACACAGUGGACCAACACCAGCAGAUGACAUGGCACCCCAAACCAUCACUGACUGUGGAAACUUUACACUGGACUUCAAGCAACGUGGAUUCUGUGCCUUUCCUCUCUUCCUCCAGACUCUGGGACUUUGAUUUCCAAAGGUAAUGUUAAAUUGACUUUCAUCAGAGAACAUAACUCAGCAGCAGUCCAGUCCUUUUUGUCUUUAGACCAGGUGAGACGCUUCGGAUGCUGUGUAUUGUUCAAGAGUGGCUUGACACAAGGAAUGUGACAGCUGAAACCCAUGUCUUGCAUACGUCUGUGCACUGACUCCAGCUGCAGUCCACUCUUUGUGAAUCUCCCCCACAUUUUUGAAUAGGUUUUGUUUCACAAUCCUCUCCAGGGUGCGGUUAUCCCUAUUGCUUGUACACUUUUUUUUUACCACAUCUUUUCCUUCCCUUCGCCUCUCCAUUAAUGUGCUUGGACACAGAGCUCUGUGAACAGCCAGUCAUUUUAGCAAUGACCUUUUGUGUCUUGCCCUCCUUGUGCAAGGUGUCAAUGGUCGUCUUUUGGACUGCUGUCAGCAGUCUUCCCCAUGAUUGUGUAGCCUACAGAACUAGACUGAGAGCCAAUUUAAAGGCCUUUGCAGGUGUUUUUAGUUAAUUAGCUGAUUAGAGUGGGGCACCAGGUGUCUUCAAUACUGUACCUUUUCACAAUAUUCUAAUUUUCUGAGAUACUGAAUUCUGGGUUUUCAUUAGUUGUCAGUUAUAAUAAUAAAAAUUAAAAUAAAUAAACACUUGAAAUAUAUCAGUGUGUGUGGAAUGAAUGUAUACAUUAUACAAGUGUAACUUUUUGAAUGGAAUUACUGAAAUAAAUCAACUUUUUGAUGAUAUUCUAAUUUCAUGACCAGCACCUGUAUAUUGUUGAGUUAUGUAUACUGUGUUGCCACUUGCUGAGCCAACACAGAGACGCAUUCCAAGGCUACCCACAGUACAGUAAUGGAACUUUAAAAUUAGAUCUCUCAAUGCAGUUUGGGAAAACCCUGCUGCGCUGCUCCUGAGUAUGGAGGAUGGGAUGAGGCCACCAUGAAUGAGGCCUAUGGCCUGUCAAAAAAACUCUGGGAGCCUAUCUGCAGCUGCUGGAAUAUUGUUUCUUCCUUAUGCCAGAAUUUGAUGUUUUAUACAACACUAUGCGCUCACCCGUUGAAAUGAGAAUACGC
ensembl:lncRNA